ACAGGGUACGAACCUGUACCUGAGGACUCAAAAUCCCCUGUACUACCACUAUACUACCUCCUAGUAAAGACAGC
rnacentral:tRNA from 1 species